rnacentral:rRNA from 1 species
UGGGGAAUAUUGGGCAAUGGGCGCAAGCCUGAUCCAGCCAUGCCGCGUGAGUGACGAAGGUCUUCGGAUUGUAAAGCUCUUUUGGCGGGGACGAUAAUGACGGUACCCGCAGAAUAAGCCCCGGCUAACUUCGUGCCAGCAGCCGCGGUAAUACGAAGGGGGCUAGCGUUGUUCGGAAUUACUGGGCGUAAAGCGCACGUAGGCGGAUUUGUAAGUCAGGGGUGAAAUCCCGGGGCUCAACCUCGGAACUGCCUUUGAUACUGCAAGUCUCGAGUCCGGAAGAGGUGAGUGGAAUUCCUAGUGUAGAGGUGAAAUUCGUAGAUAUUAGGAAGAACACCAGUGGCGAAGGCGGCUCACUGGUCCGGUACUGACGCUGAGGUGCGAAAGCGUGGGGAGCAAACAGGAUUAGAUACCCCCGUAGUCCCUGAGCGGGCUGGCAAGGCGCAU